AUUGAACGCUAGCGGGAUGCCUUACACAUGCAAGUCGAACGGAGUGGCGAACGGGUGAGUAAUGUAUAGGAACGUGCCUAGUAGCGGGGGAUAACUACGCGAAAGCGGCGCUAAUACCGCAUACUAUUGGAGCGGCCGAUAUCGGAUUAGCUAGUUGGUGGGGUAACGGCCAACCAAGGCGACGAACCGUAGCUGGUUUGAGAGGACGACCAGUCAAACGUGAACUGAGACACGGCCCAGACUCCUACGGGAGGCAGCAGUGGGGAAUUUUGGACAAUGGGGGAAACCCUGAUCCAGCCAUCCCGCGUGUGCGAUGAAGGCCUUCGGGUUGUAAAGCACUUUUAGCAGGAAAGCGGUACCUGCAGAAUAAGCACCGGCUAACUACGUGCCAGCCGCCGCGGUAAUUC
rnacentral:rRNA from 1 species